rnacentral:rRNA from 1 species
CCUACGGGAGGCAGCAGUGGGGAAUAUUGCACAAUGGGGGAAACCCUGAUGCAGCCAUGCCGCGUGUGUGAAGAAGGCCUUCGGGUUGUAAAGCACUUUCAGCGAGGAGGAAAGGGUGUAAGUUAAUACCUUACAUCUGUGACGUUACUCGCAGAAGAAGCACCGGCUAACUCCGUGCCAGCAGCCGCGGUAAUACGGAGGGUGCGAGCGUUAAUCGGAAUUACUGGGCGUAAAGCGUGCGCAGGCGGUUUGUUAAGCGAGAUGUGAAAGCCCCGGGCUCAACCUGGGAACCGCAUUUCGAACUGGCAAACUAGAGUCUUGUAGAGGGGGGUAGAAUUCCAGGUGUAGCGGUGAAAUGCGUAGAGAUCUGGAGGAAUACCGGUGGCGAAGGCGGCCCCCUGGACAAAGUCUGACGCUCAGGCACGAAAGCGUGGGGAGCAAACA